UUUGUUCAUAUCAUAGAGUAAUUCUAUAGGGUAGCCGCUGUAGCACAUCAGCCGUUGCACACGUUAUGUGGAUGUACUUAAACUAGCAUUUGAAUUUUGAACGUCGACCUUAUGAAUUGAACCCAUCCCACUCCCGCGUCCCCCUCCCUCCCUCCCUCCUGUCGCCCAUCACCCUCGAGCAUCGCCGUCUUUGUCGUCGCCCAACACCGGCGAGUCGUCGGCCUGCCUCUGCCCAUCGUCCCCCAGCCUUUCUUCCCCACAGUCCAUUUCGAACAAGAGGGAGGGGUUCAUGGGGACCACUUGUCGCCCAGCACGCCCUCCCUCCACCAGCGCCACCCAGCACCCGCGACUCAUACCUCUGUUUCGCCAUCCAUCUACUCAGCAGCAAGAGAGGUAAUUCCAAAGUUAUAAGUUGGGUGUCAGGGGAAAGCAUAUAGCAAUUAUGGAGGUUAUGGCUCUACAAUGGGCGGCUACAACUCUAAUUAUGGAUUUGUAAUUACAGAGGAUUCACUGAACAAGUUACUCUUUUUUGCAAAGAUUUUGAUUGGAUCUCAAAAUGUUCAUUCCUGUUAUGUAUUUAGAUAGCCACAAUAUUUAUAUAACUGAAAUGAUUUUAAGUAUGGGGAUCUAUUCUUGUAUUUGUAUUAGUCAUUUAUAAAUACUUUGAUGGCAUUUAUUUCAUGAACAUGUGGUAAAAAUUCUUGUUAAAAGCAUUUGUUGAGGAUCAUCUAUAUUAGUUGAAUGUGGUGAUUCUUAAGAGUUAAGCGUA